UGUAGGAGAGAUUGUGGGCUUACAUUCGCAAAUUUAGCAGAAUGACUAAAGAAAUGCGUCCAAGUCACAGAGUUGAUGUACUCAGUGAUGCUCUUUUACAUUAUGGAAAGAAAACGAAGAUUAAUUUAGGCAAUUUGCUGAUGGCAAGGAUGAAGCGAGCUGUUGACGUGGAAGAAACUGCAAAAUCAGAUAUUGAAAAGUUAUGCAGGUGCUUUCCGUCUCACAGGAUUUCAAUAGAUAAUAUUCGUGAGUGGAUGAAGGACGAAUCGACUUU